rnacentral:rRNA from 1 species
GGCGUAAUGGGAGUCUAGCAUGCGAGUCAUUGUAGCAAUACAAGGCAGACGGCUCAGUAACGCGUAGUCAAUCUACCCUAUGGACGGGGAUAACCUCGGGAAACUGAGAAUAAUACUCGAUAGAACAUUAUGCCUGGAACGGUUUAUGUUUCAAAUGAUUUAUCGCCAUAGGAUGGGACUGCGGCCUAUCAGUUUGUUGGUGAGGUAAUGGCCCACCAAGACUAUUACAGGUACGGGCUCUGAGAGGAGUAGCCCGGAGAUGGGUGCUGAGACACGGACCCAGGCCCUAUGGGGCGCAGCAGGCGAGAAAACUUUGCAAUGUGCGAAAGCACGACAAGGUUAAUCCGAGUGGUUUCUGCUAAAGAAACCUUUUGCUAGUCCUAGAAACACUAGUGAAUAAGGGGUGGGCAAGUUCUGGUGUCAGCCGCCGCGGUAAAACCAGCACCUCAAGUGGUCAGGAUGAUUAUUGGGCCUAAAGCAUCCGUAGCUCGUUUUGUAAGUUUUCGGUUAAAUCCAUACGCUCAACGUAUGGGCUGCCGGGAAUACUGCAUGACUAGGAAGUGGGAGAGGUAGACGGUACUCGAUAGGAAGGGGUAAAAUCCUUUGAUCUAUUGAUGACCACCUGUGGCGAAGGCGGUCUACCAGAACACGUCCGACGGUGAGGGAUGAAAGCUGGGGGAGCAAACCGGAUUAGAUACCCGGGUAGUCCCAGCUGUAAACUAUGCAAACUCAGUGAUGCAUUGGCUUGAUGCCAAUGCAGUGCUGCAGGGAAGCCGUUAAGUUUGCCGCCUGGGAAGUACGUACGCAAGUAUGAAACUUAAAGGAAUUGGCGGGGGAGCACCACAAGGGGUGAAGCCUGCGGUUCAAUUGGAGUCAACGCCGGGAAUC